rnacentral:rRNA from 1 species
UACGAAGGGUGCAAACGUUGCUCGGAAUUAUUGGGCGUAAAGCGCACGUAGGCGGCUUAGCAAGUCGGAAGUGAAAUCCCUCGGCUCAACCAAGGAAGUGCUUUCGAAACUGCUGAGCUUGAGUACUUAAGAGGAUCGCGGAAUUCCCGGUGUAGCGGUGAAAUGCGCAGAUAUCGGGAAGAACACCCGUGGCGAAGGCGGCUCUCUGGGACGGUACUGACGCUGAGACGCGAAAGCGUGGGGAGCGAACAGG